rnacentral:rRNA from 1 species
UACGUAGGGUGCGAGCGUUAAUCGGAAUUACUGGGCGUAAAGCGUGCGCAGGCGGUUUUGUAAGCCAGAUGUGAAAUCCCCGAGCUUAACUUGGGAACUGCAUUUGGGACUGCAAGGCUAGAGUACGGCAGAGGGGGGUAGAAUUCCUGGUGUAGCAGUGAAAUGCGUAGAUAUCAGGAGGAAUACCGAUGGCGAAGGCAGCCCCCUGGGUCGAUACUGACGCUCAUGCACGAAAGCGUGGGGAGCAGACAGG